rnacentral:rRNA from 1 species
GACGAACGCUGGCGGCGUGCUUAACACAUGCAAGUCGAACGGAAAGGCCCCCAUCUUGGUGGGGGUGCUCGAGUGGCGAACGGGUGAGUAACACGUGGGUGAUCUGCCCUGUACUUCGGGAUAAGCUUGGGAAACUGGGUCUAAUACCGGAUAGGACCAUGGUUUAGUGUCUCAUGGUGGAAGGAUUAUUGUUUUGGUGCAGGAUGAGCUCGCGGCCUAUCAGCUUGUUGGUGGGGUAAUGGCCUACCAAGGCGUCGACGGGUAGCCGGCCUGAGAGGGUGGACGGCCACAUUGGGACUGAGAUACGGCCCAGACUCCUACGGGAGGCAGCAGUGGGGAAUAUUGCACAAUGGGCGCAAGCCUGAUGCAGCGACGCCGCGUGGGGGAUGACGGCCUUCGGGUUGUAAACUCCUUUCGUUAGGGACGAAGCCGCACUUUUUUUGGGUGUGGUGACGGUACCUUUGUUAAGAAGCACCGGCUAACUACGUG